rnacentral:rRNA from 1 species
AUUGAACGCUGGCGGCAUGCCUUACACAUGCAAGUCGAACGGCAGCACGGGUGCUUGCACCUGGUGGCGAGUGGCGAACGGGUGAGUAAUACAUCGGAACGUACCUUAUCGUGGGGGAUAACGCAGCGAAAGCUGUGCUAAUACCGCAUACGCCCUGAGGGGGAAAGCGGGGGAUCGCAAGACCUCGCGCGAUUAGAGCGGCCGAUGCCUGAUUAGCUUGUUGGUGGGGUAAAAGCCCACCAAGGCGACGAUCAGUAGCUGGUCUGAGAGGACGAGCAGCCACACUGGGACUGAGACACGGCCCAGACGCCUACGGGAGGCAGCAGUGGGGAAUUUUGGACAAUGGGGGCAACCCUGAUCCAGCAAUGCCGCGUGAGUGAAGAAGGCCUUCGGGUUGUAAAGCUCUUUUGUCAGGGAAGAAACACCGGCUCUAACACAGUCCGGGAAUGACGGUACCUGAAGAAUAAGCACCGGCUAACUACGUGCCAGCCGCCGCAGUAA